rnacentral:rRNA from 1 species
UACAGAGGGUGCGAGCGUUAAUCGGAAUUACUGGGCGUAAAGCGCGCGUAGGCGGCUUUGCAAGUCGGGUGUGAAAUCCCCAGGCUCAACUUGGGAACUGCGUCGGAUACUGGAUGGCUUGAAUUCGGGAGAGGGAUGCAGAAUUCCAGGUGUAGCGGUGAAAUGCGUAGAUAUCUGGAGGAAUACCGGUGGCGAAGGCGGCAUCCUGGACCAAUAUUGACGCCGAGGAGCGAAAGCUAGGGGAGCAAACGGG